rnacentral:lncRNA from 1 species
CACAAAUGGGCAUUUUUUGCCCUAAAAUGGUCAUGGGCGCCAACCUAGAUGGCACCUACCCUUAAAUUUAGGGCAAGUCGCCACUAGGAGUGGCGCCUACUACUAAUUCCUUUUUUUUUUUUUAUAAAUUUUUUUAAUAUGUUUUUAAUUAUUUUUUUAAUUUUUAUAAAUCUUUUUUAACUUAUUUUAAAUUUAUUAAUUUAUAUUUAUUAUAAUUUAUAUUAA